ACUCAAAGGAAUUGACGGGGGCCCGCACAAGCGGUGGAGCAUGUGGUUUAAUUCGAUAAUAAGCGAAAAACCUUACCUACCCUUGACAUCCUUAGAAUCCUGCAGAGAUGUGGGAGUGCUUCGGAACUAAGAGACAGGUGCUGCAUGGCUGUCGUCAGCUCGUGUCGUGAGAUGUUGGGUUAAGUCCCGUAACGAGCGCAACCCCUAUACUUAGUUGCCAUUCCGUAAGGAGGCACUUUAAGUAGACUGCCGGUGACAAACCGGAGGAAGGUGGGGAUGAUGUCAAGUCAUCAUGGCCCUUAUGGGUAGGGCUACACACGUGCUACAAUGGGCAGUACAGAGGGCGUUGAAACCGCAAGGUGGAACAAAUCCCAGAAAGCUGUUCGUAGUCCGGAUUGGAGUCUGCAACUCGACUCCAUGAAGUUGGAAUCGCUAGUAAUCGCGAAUCAGCAUGUCGCGGUGAAUACGUUCCCGGGCCUUGCACACACCGCCCGU
rnacentral:rRNA from 1 species